CCCAGACUCCCCAUCCCUAACCCCACCCCGGGUCCUCGCGCCUCCAUCUGGUCUCCCCACAGCUUGGACCUCCUCUGGAAGAGGUAGCGGGGCCUCCCGGGGCCUCCCACCAGGCUAGAUAUAGAGCCUGACCCUAGGCCUCCAGAACCCAGGCCCCCAUGCCCCAGGCCUCCAGACCCGAGGCCUCCAUGCCCCAGGCCUCCAGACCCGAGGCCUCCAUGCCCCAGGCCUCCAGACCCGAGGCCUCCAUGCCCCAGGCCUCCAGACCCUAGGCCUCCAUGCCCCAGCCCUGCCCCUCCGGCUGCUGCUGCGGCUAGAGCAGCCGCCUGCUGCUGGGAUAACAGCUCGCUGUCAGAGCUCUGCUUCAGCAGCGGGUCCCUGAAGGUGACCGGGCCUUUAUUGCCUCCAAUGUGAGACUUGAGCCGGGGCUUGGGAGGCACUGGCGGCUUGUCGAGCACGAAGGUCUGCCCGUCGGCAUAGGAGGUGUGUGUGUCAGCGGGUUCGCCACUCUCUGAGGACAGAGUGGACAUGCUGGAGACGGUGGACACAGUGCUAGUGGUCUCCAGGUGGUGGUCUCGCUCUCUCUCACUGGAGCUGCGUGUGUCUGCCUCCUCCACACCAGAGUCUGCUGCUGAACCAGACUCAGCCAGCAGGGCUGGAGGAUGGGGCUGGUCCGGGUAUGAGGGUUUCCCUGAGACGACUGCUCCUCCAGGGGUAGGCUGGAGGGGAGGGCCCUGGGGUUGGGUGGGUGUCAGGCUAGAGGUGGGGGUCAGGCUGGGGUUUGGGGUCGAAGGGGUGAGGAGAGUAGGGGUUGUAGGGGAAGUGGUGGAUUUAGACUGGGGUACAGGGGUCCCCUGGGCUUGGGCUUGUGAAUUGGCCAACAACCCGUUGGAAAACUCAUCCGGAGGUGGGAGCACCCCAAUCUUCUUCAGCUCCUCUCUGGUCUCUUCAUCACUGGAGGACAGCAUGGCUGGAGGUAGGCUCACUGUGUAGGGCUCCACGUCUUCCUCUGAACUGCCCUGGGCCAGGGGAGCCUGGGCUGGGCUGGAAGGGCCCUGGGCCUGGAGCUGAGAGGCAGAGGGGCUGGGUGACAGAGCCCGACUGAGGGAGGGUUUAAUGGGCUCGGUGGCUGGGGAGGUGGGGGUUUUCUCCAGCCCUGGUCCCAGCCCCACCGCCUGGCCGUUACUGGUGGCAUGGACCAUGAUUAGUCCAGCUGUCUUCUGUUGUGAUGUGUCCAUGAUACUGAUCAACAUACUCUUCUUAUCCUCCGUUCUCCUCACCUCCUUCCUCUCCUCCCCUCUUCCCUCCAUCUCCUGGCGAAGCAAGGCAGGUGAUGACACUCCCCACUGGGAUUUACCAGCCUGGGGCGACCCCGGCCUCCCGCCCCCAUGCUGAGGCUCUUUGGUCUGGCUUUCGAUGAAAAGCGAAGCCCCCUGACCUCCAACACCAGCCCUGUCCUGUUUAGUCCUGGGCUCAGGGCUGCUGGCGGGGGACUGGCUCUGGGAGGUAAGUGCCCGCUCCCUUGCGGCCAGCGCAAGAGCAAGGGGUGAGUUAGGGUCCAGGGGCUUCCCUGUGAGUGGGUGGAUGAAGGUAGUGCCGCCAGGUGAGGGGCGCAGGGCCAGAGCGGGGGGUGGCAGCUGGCCUAGUUCUCUGCUGAGUAGGCGCUCAUCGAUGGAUCGAGAUGUGGUGUAGGAGGGGGGCUCAGGGGCGGACCCCGACCCCCCCUCCAUGGUCCCCACUGACUGGAAGACUGUGGAUUUCCUCCGCUCCUCUAGUCGGCGCUCUCGGUCCUUCACGGCGCCAGCGAUAGCAACAGCGAACGGCCCUUUCCCCUGCAGCAAGGCCUCUCCCUGGAGACGCAUACGCUCGCGCUCCACCAUCAGCUGCUGCUGGUAGUAGUCGGCCCGGCUGGUGUGUGUGUGGCCGUGGGUGUGUGUGUGUCGACCAGAGGGGGAGGUCUCUCGGGAGUGGGCAGCGGCCAAGGCGAUGCUGGCUCUCUCCUGUGCGUCCUCCACCUGGAG
rnacentral:lncRNA from 1 species